CCCGGUCCGGCUCCUCCCCCCCCCCGAGUCGGACCGUGGGGACGACCCCCGCUCUCCCCCCCGGCGGGGGUCGUCGCAU
rfam:Streptomyces paucisporeus strain CGMCC 4.2025 genome assembly, contig: Ga0079900_136